CGCAAGCCUGAUCCAGCAAUGCCGCGUGAGUGAUGAAGGCCUUCGGGUUGUAAAGCUCUUUCGCCCGCGACGAUGAUGACGGUAGCGGGAGAAGAAGCCCCUGCUAACUUCGUGCCAGCAGCCGCGGUAAUACGAAGGGGGCGAGCGUUGUCCGGAUUUACUGGGCGUAAAGGGCGCGUAGGCGGCGCCGUAAGUCAGGCGUGAAAGCCCCGGGCUCAACCUGGGAAUUGCGCUUGGGACUAUGGUGCUGGAGUUCGGGAGAGGAGCGUGGAAUUCCCAGUGUAGAGGUGAAAUUCGUAGAUAUUGGGAAGAACACCGGUGGCGAAGGCGGCGCUCUGGACCGAUACUGACGCUGAGGCGCGAAAACGUGGGGAGCGAACAGGAUUAGAUACCCUGGUAGUCCACGCGGUAAACGAUGUGUGCUAGACGUUGGGGGGCCUAGCUCUCCGGUGUCGCCGCUAACGCUGUAAGCACACCGCCUGGGGAGUACGGCCGCAAGGUUAAAACUCAAAGGAAUUGACGGGGGCCAGCACAAGCGGUGGAGCAUGUGGUUUAAUUCGACGCAACGCGAAGAACCUUACCAGCUCUUGACAUGCCUCGUAUGGGUGGGGGAGACCCCAUUCUUCGGUUCGGCCGGCGGGGACACAGGUGCUGCAUGGCUGUCGUCAGCUCGUGUCGUGAGAUGUUGGGUUAAGUCCCGCAACGAGCGCAACCCUCAUCUUCAGUUGCCAUCGGGUGAAGCCGGGCACUCU
rnacentral:rRNA from 1 species